rnacentral:tRNA from 1 species
CUGGGUGUGGCGCAGCUGGUAGCGCGCUACCUUGGGGUGGUAGAGGCCGCUGGUUCAAGUCCAGUCACUCAGACCA